AGCCCUGUAGUCUAGCGGCCAAGGAUGCAGGACUUUGGAUCCUGUGACCCCGGUUCGAAUCCGGGCAGGGCUA
rnacentral:tRNA from 2 species